GCACAAGCAGUGGAGUAUGUGGUUUAAUUCGACGCAACGCGAAGAACCUUACCAAGUCUUGACAUCCUGCGACGACGCUGGAAACAGUAUUUUCCUUCGGGACGCAGAGACAGGUGGUGCAUGGUUGUCGUCAGCUCGUGUCGUGAGAUGUUGGGUUAAGUCCCGCAACGAGCGCAACCCUUACUAUUAGUUGCUACGCAAGAGCACUCUAAUAGGACUGCCGUUGACAAAA
rnacentral:rRNA from 1 species